rnacentral:rRNA from 1 species
UACGUAGGUGGCGAGCGGUGUCCGGAUUUACUGGGCGUAAAGAGCCCGCUGGCGGCUUGGCACGUCCUGGGGGAAAUCUCCCGGCUCAACUGGGAGGGUGCCUAGAAAACUAUCAGGCUUGAGGCAUGGAGAGGGAUGCGGAAUUCCCGGUGUAGCGGUGAAAUGCGUAGAUAUCUGGAGGAAUACCGGUGGCGAAGGCGGCAUCCUGGACCGACAUUGACGCUGAUGAGCGAAAGCUAGGGGAGCAAACGGG